GGAUUUAUAAUGAUCUGUGUUUACUGAGCAUGAUGAAGUAAAGUUCAACAUGAUUACUCUGAAGUCU
rfam:Papio anubis isolate 1X1155 chromosome 1, whole genome shotgun sequence.